UACGUAGGGUGCGAGCGUUAAUCGGAAUUACUGGGCGUAAAGCGUGCGCAGGCGGUUCUCUAUGUCGGUCGUGAAAGCCCCGGGCUUAACCUGGGAAUGGCGAUGGAAACUGGCGAGCUGGAGUGCGGCAGAGGGGGGUGGAAUUCCGCGUGUAGCAGUGAAAUGCGUAGAGAUGCGGAGGAACACCGAUGGCGAAGGCAGCCCCCUGGGUCGACACUGACGCUCAGGCACGAAAGCGUGGGGAGCAAACAGG
rnacentral:rRNA from 1 species